UUUUUAUGGAGAGUUUGAUCCUGGCUCAGGAUGAACGCUGGCGGCGUGCCUAAUACAUGCAAGUCGAGCGAACAGACGAGGAGCUUGCUCCUCUGACGUUAGCGGCGGACGGUGAGUAAC
rnacentral:rRNA from 1 species